rnacentral:lncRNA from 1 species
GCAGAUUCUCGAAAAAACUCCACCACUCACCAAAAUACCAAGCUUGGAGUGCCAAAUCAGAGACGUAGCAAAUGAAGCAGAAGACAUCGUUGAAUCUCACAUGGUUGAACGACUGCUCUCGAUGCCUGAAGGCGUGAACUUCACUCCGCUGAUCGAACAAGUCGUGAAGCUCGUGGAGGUGGAGACAAACAAGAAGCCGACUGGAGUCAGUGAGUGGUGCUUCUUUCUCGAGCGUGGAGGUGGAGACAAACAAGAAGCCAACUGGCAGCUCAUGGAGUGGUGCUUCUUUCUCGAGUUCGAAGAGCGUCGUGGUGGGAGUCGAUGAAGAUCUGAUGCAGCUGAAGGAUCGGCUGACCGGGAAUCAGACCAAGCUGGAGAUCCUGCCCAUCGUGGGUAUGGGUGGUAUAGGUAAAACCACUCUUGCUCGAACACUUUAUCAAGAUCCACUCAUUCUUCACCACUUUAGCUAUCUUGCUUGGACCACAAUCUCACAAGAUUACAAUAUGCGGUCAAUUCUAUUAAGCCUUAUUCGUUGCAUAAUUGGAAAAGAAGAAUGUGACCAACAUAAGGAAAAGGGAGAAGCGAGUUAAAAGAUAUUUUAUAUCAGAGCUUGUACGGUAGAAUAUACAUAGUUGUAUUAGAUGAUAUUUGGAGCACCGCAUUCUGGGAUGAGAUAAGGAGGUACUUCCCCGACAACAAUAACGGGAGUCGGAUUGUGAUCACCACUAGGGAAUCGGAUGUCGCCAAAUAUGCAGACUUGGAGAUUCAGCACCAUCAUCAGGUGCAGUUGCUGAGCGAGUCUCAAAGUUGGGAUCUUCUUAGCCAAAUUGUGUUUGGAAAAGAGGAUUGCCCUGAUGAGUUACAAGGGAUAGGGAAGAAGAUUGCGAGUGAUUGCGGUGGGCUUCCUCUGGCUAUCAAUGUGAUUGGAGGGCUGUUGUCUAAGGUGGAAAGGUUAAAAGAUGCUUGGGAGAAUAUUGGGAACGAUGUAAGAGCUGCAAUUGCUGAAUCAGACAAGCAGUUCUCCAAUAUACUAUCCUUAAGUUAUAACCAUCUGCCGAUUCACUUGAAACCAUGUUUCCUAUAUAUGGCAGCAUUCCCUGAAGAUUAUGAGAUCGACCUGUUGAGACUCGUAAGGAUGUGGGUAGCAGAAGGAUUUGUGAAAUCGAAUGGAGAAAAAAGUUUGGAGGAAGAGGCAGAGGAUUAUUUAAAGUCACUUGUAGAAAGGAAUCUAGUUUCGGUUAUUACAAGUUAUAGUUGGUAUGUAAAAGCAAAGAGGUACAGCAUGCAUGAUCUUUUGAGAGAUUUAUGCAUUAGGAAAGCUGAUGAUGAGAAGUUUCUACAUGUCAAGAAUUCCACAUUCUCUAACCAGCUGCGUCGUGUGAGUAUUCACACAUCAUAUGGAAUGAAAGAUGAUGAGUAUGCUUCUUCAUCAGAGAUGUCACUUGUUCGAUCAUUUCUAGUAUUUGUCAAGUUGGAUAGGAAUGUAUCUCCCAUGGUUUCCACAUUAAGAUUGCUUAGGGUGUUGGAUUUAUUGGAAAUGCGUAAGAUUGAGUUCACAGAAGAAAUAUUACAACUUGUGAACUUACGCUACUUAGCUAUCAAUUGCAAGUCAUUGCCAAGAAGUGGAAUAUCAAGAUUGUGUAAUUUGCAAACCUUGAUUGCCGAGGUAUCCAACAAAAUUUUGGAGAUCUUUAUUUUUCCCAUGUCCUGUAGCUAUUUCCCAGCUGAGUUGUGGGAAAUGUCUGAGUUAAGACAUCUCAUCAUAUUGAAUACAUAUCUCGAGAUGGAAGAUGAUUACAUGAAAAAAAUUGUUCUGAAGAAGCUGCAGACGAUACGGGGUGUGGAGCUAAGUCCGUCAGUGAUUAGAAGGGGUUUCUUGGAAAGCAUUCCAAAUAUAAAAAGCUUGGAAAUCCGGUAUUGUGAGGAUGAAGGCUCAUCAGGGAUGAGUGAAGUAGUUGAUCUGAGUCAUCUUCACAAACUCCAAACAUUAAGCUGGAGUUCAUUAGGGGAUCAAUAUCUGCACGUACCCAAAUUUCCAUCUACUCUUAGAGAAUUAAAUCUGGAGAAUUGUGUAAUAACUCCGGCAGCGACGACGGUCCUGUGUGCACUACCGGAUCUGGAAGUGCUCAAGAUAGAGGAAUGUACCUUCGAAAGCAAUGAGACAGAAGAAGAAGAAGCAAAUGAAGAGUGGGAAAUAACAGAAGGAGAUGAAUUCAGCUCAUUGCAGUUUCUACAACUCGAAUGUCGUAGACUGGUGCGUUGGAGAGCUGAUGAAACCAACUUCCCUAGACUCCGCCAUCUCUUUUUACGAAGUUGUUGGGAGCUAGAGGAAAUCCCCGCAGGCAUUGGAGAAAUCCCAACCCUCCAAUUAAUCGAAAUGGUAUAUUGCAGGGAUUCUGCAGUGGCCUCAGCGAAACAGAUUCAGGAGGAGCAGCAAUCUGAAUAUGAGAACUACCAACUCCAACUUUGUAUCUCAUAUGAUGAUUAGGUCAGUAUUAUUAUCACUUUCUGCCUAUCCAAAAAAUAAAUAACCAAAAGUAUUUAGUAACCAAAAACCACUCCCAAUAUCUUUUUAGCAAAAACAGUAUUAUGAUUUUUUGAUGCUUUGUACUUGUAAUUGAUGGAUCAUAUUUUCUUUUGGUAAAUUAGGAGGAGGCGCACAAAGAAGUUGAAGAAUGAACGCUGAUGGGUGAUGAAUUUUGAUGUUUUAGGUGGAUCAAGAUAGGAUGGAUCAUACUAAUUUUUAUUUAUAUAAAUUGCAUACAUAUAUUAAUUAUAGCUUUUUGCGAGUCUUUAUAAGUUUUUCUUUUGUGUGUGUGUGUGUGACAGAUUAACAUAAUUCGAGUUUUUUAAGUUACUGCUGUUGAGAAAGACUUAACUUAGUGAAGAAAAUGGAUUAUUAAUAGGUAUUACGACUAGGAAAAUCAAAAAUUAAAAGAGAAAAUUAAGGCAGCCAUGAAAAGAAAGUUAUAGACUGGUGCGUUGGAGAGCUGAUGAAACAAACUUCCCUAGACUUCAGCAUCUCAUUAUACGGAAAUGUCCUAAUCUAGAGGAAAUCCCCGUCGGCAUUGGAGAAAUCCCAACCCUCCAAUCAAUCCACGUAGAAUGGUGCAGCAAUUCAGCAGAGGCCCCAGCGAAACAGAUUCAGGAGGAGCAGCAAUCUGAAUACGAGAACUACGACCUCCAACUUCGUAUCAUCCCAUCAUAUAUGAUUUGGUCAGUCUUAUUAUCACUCUAAUCAUGUUGUUGGGUUUCAUUAAACUGACGAAUUUCUUGUGCCGCAUAUCUACAGAGCACAGAAAGAGGAAGAGAAAAGAAAGGAAGAUCGAUGAAGACGACUCAAAGUGGCCAUAUUUGAAACUCAUUUGAUUUCUCCUCUCUUCUUGUCUUACCAUUACCAUUGCUUCACAAUUUGCUUUGUUUUUCACUUAUGAUGCUUUUCUUACUGCCUUUUUUUCCCCUCUUUUGUUUGGUGCUUAGUUUUAGAAGAGCAACUCCUUUUCCCUUUUAGUGUUUUUCACUGGCUUUUUUGUCUUUAAUUGGAUUUUUUGUUAAUAUGAUGUUAUAAUUUCAUUGAUAUAUAUUGGAGUUUCGGAUGAAUUAUGAUCUUUAAACAUUUUUAGUUCUAGUACUCACCGAGAUAAAGUUGGCAUGCAUGAUAUCAAGCUUCUUGAACAUAAAUAUAUUAGUAUGUGUGUUGAUCUAACAGUAGAGCAGGUAAUACAAAAAGUCAAAAGAGGUUUUGAGUUCAUAAUUUUUAAAUUUACUUAUUUAAUUGGUAAUUGUUUAUCAAAAUAUAUUUAUAUAUAAUAUUGGUUAUAGGGAUAAUAACAUUUAAAUAAAUGCACGCACAAUGCUCGGAAAACACACACACACAUAUAUAAUAUUAGUCUGUGUUAAUUUAAUGGUAGAGUGGUUAAUACUCAAAGUUAAAAGAAAUUUUGAGUUCGAGUUCAUCGUGACAUAAUCUUUGACUUUAUUAUUUAUUUAAUUAUUAAUUUAUCAAAAUAUAUUUAUAUGUAAUAUUGAUUAUAGGGAUACUAAAGCUUAAAUAAAUGCACAAAGUUCCACAUAUAAUCAAAUAAAUGCACAAACUUGUCAACAAAGAUUAAUGCAUCACAUGAAUAAAGUAUCUAGCUCACUAGAGAAUAUUCUCUCUCUCUCUCUCUUUUACUAUUUUUAUCUUUUGCUUUUAUUAUAUAACUAGCGUCUAACUCGUCGAAAUUCGAUGAGAAUUAUUUUAUGUUAUCAUUUAUAAUUAUUUUAUGUUAUUUUUAUUAUUAUAGUAUAUAAAAUAGUUUAUAUAUAAAUUAUUUCUUUAAUUAAUUUGAUAUGAUAAAAUUAAAUUAGUAGUACAAUAUUUGAAAUAAUAUUAAUGUUAAUCACUUUCGCCAAUUAAAUGUAGGUUGUGAUAAUAGAAAUACAUUUUUAUAUAAAUAUUUAUUUGAUGAAGUUUAUAAAAAGUUGAUGUGGGAUUGAAUAUUUUAGAAGAAAAAAAUAUGUAAAUUUGAAGAUUGAAGAAAUAAAAUACAAAUAUAAAUCCUUUUUUAGAUAUGGAAAUUGAUUAAAAAUUCAGAAAAAAAUAAGAAUGAAUGAAAAUUGAGGAAAAUUAAAAUAGAGUGAUUAUACGGCGUCACACAAGAUAUGAUUUAUUCUGCUAUUAUAUAUAUAUUUUGAGAAUGAAGAAUUAAUCUAAGCCCUUAGAUUAAUUGAUAUUAACGAUCCAGAUCAUUUCGUUCAUUUAAGAUCUGAUUUAUAUGUUAAGGUUAUUUAAGUAAUUGUAUUUUUUUAAUGUAACCGUUUCUUAUUGCUAUUUUAGUUGACCGUAUCCCAUAUUUUUUUGAAUUGAUUUAUGAAGAUAUCAAUCAUUUACAUUUUAUUCUUUUUUUCUUAAAUUAGUUUUAUUAGUUUAUGAUUGUUUAUGGUAGACAAAAUAAUGAGGCCGCAGAUUAUAUAUAAACCUACUUCUACUAAUGAAAUUAUAGGUGUUCAUACCCAGCUCAUGGUGAACACGGCAAUGAAUUAGCUAUGGAUGUGAUAUUUUUUCAUUAAUCUAAAUCACCAUAAACGUCACGUAAUUCUCUCCUCCCCAUUUCUACAUUUUUGGCCAGUAUAAAUUAAUUCAAAUCCAAAAAAUCCAACUCAUUUGUCCGUGUUUUUUAAUUCUCUAUAUCUUAUUACCGUAAUUAAUAACAAUAUUCGUAAUUUUGUUAAGCUUGUUCGAAAAAUUAUAUGUUAAGUAUUUUAUGUUAACAAGAGAAAUUUGAAUAUUUUAUUUAGAUAUUCGUAAUUUUUUUACGCUUGUUCAAAAUAUUUUAUGCUAAAUAUUUUAUGUCAGGAAGAACAUUUCGAAUAUUUUAUUUGGAUAUUCGUAAUAUUUCUUUUCUUGUUCGAAUUAUUUUUAUGUUAGAUAUUUUAUGUCAACAAGAAAAAUUCGAAUUUUUUACUUAGAUGUUCGUAAUUUUUUUAUGCUUGUUCGAAAAUUUUAUAUUAUAUAGUUUUACAAUUCUGAAUCAAAUAUCAAUAAUCAGACUUUUCACUAUAAUAUUCAUAACUUUAUACGGUUUAUGCAAAAGUAAUUGAAUGCCUAUUUUCUUGAAAUAUAGUCAAUUAUGAUGGCAAUGAAAAAACAACAAUUACAUAGAGCAAGCUGGAAAUUUUGAGCACCAACUUUCGUCCCUAGCUACUUUCCCCUAAGCAUGCUAAAGACUCAAAUGAAUCUCCCAGUACACAGAUGACAAAGGAACUCAAACCACUAAGUCCAGCAACAAACUUGAAUUUAUGUAUGAAUCCUAAACUAAUCAGCAGCCCACGUCCAAGCAAAACUCAGUAGAAAGAACUCAUCACCACUAAGUCCAGCAACAAACUUGAAUUUAUUCAAAAUUAUAGUAUGAUCUAACUUCUAAGCACCGAGUCAGUUCUCCAAAAAUGCUAUAUUCAAACAAUAUAAAGUCGAGUUCAUCCAAAAGGUAAAUCGAUGAUAUUGAAAUGAGACAUGCCCUGCUAUAUUAAUCCAAAUAAACCGAUAAGUACAAUAUCUAAAUCAAUGUACGAAUUGCAUAUACAACAAAUUAUGAAUCAACAACCCUUCACGAUAGAUGAAUAUAUAUACACCAUUAUUUACAUCAAUUACCAAGCUAACGGAAAACUAAACCACCUAAACUUAUGUAAUGCAAUGCUGAUACAUCUAAAUCAUCUAGCAGACCGGAGUCAAUCGCAACAAACUUCACCACCUUCUUCAACAUUUAGUUGAAGAAUAUCUUUUCUAAAAAAUGAAUUGACAUUCGAAUUGAUUGUUUUUCGUGGAUUAAUUUAUUGGUAUAUUAUAUUUAAGUUUUAGUCACAUUUGGAAUAAUCUCAAUUAAGUGGGUAUAAGGAUUCAUAUUCUGGAUGCCAUCAUUUUGUUAAAUUAAAUUUUUUGGGUGAAAAAAAGAUGGAUUAUGAGGCAUAAUGAGUUCUUGUUGGUCAUUGAGUUUAUAUAUAUAUAAAAGGUUGGUAUGAGGAGGUUAAGAGGGAUUUCAGACGUUUGAAAACAGACUAAUGGACACUCGAAGUGCUAAUGUGUUUUAAUUUGGGUGGGAAAAUAGAAGGCCGUGAGUUAUAUAAUAGUUCCGAUAAUCAAAUGGAUAUUUAGGAUUUAUAAUUAAAUGGAUAUGUUGGAUUUAUCUAAUAGUUUUAUACGAUUAUUUAAUAGUACAAACUUUAUCUAAUAGUUUUAUAUGAUUAUUUAAUAGUACAGAAUUUAUCUAUAAAUUUAUAUGAUUAUUUAAUAGUUUUUAAAUGUAAAAAUUGAUUAGAAAUGUAUAAAUAAAUAAGAAUGAAUGAGAAUUGAGGAAAAUUAGAAUGGAGUGAUUAUACGAUGCCACGUAGGAUAAGAUUUAUUUUGUUAUAAUGUAAAAAUUUAUUAUAAAUGUAUAAAUAAAUAAGAAUGAAUGAGAAGACUUUAUCUAAUAGUUUUAUAUGAUUAUUUAAUAGUACAGAAUUUAUCUAUAAAUUUAUAUGAUUAUUUAAUAGUUUUUAAAUGUAAAAAUUGAUUAGAAAUGUAUAAAUAAAUAUAAAUGUAUAAAUAAAUUGAUUAUUUAAAUUUUUGUACAAGAAUUAAGAAGAAUUAAUUAACAUCAAAUUUUAAAAACUCAUUCUCUUUUCUCACCAGCUAAACUUAAUGUACUCCAUAUCCCAAUAAAUUUAAAUGAAAGAUUGAUAAUUCUUCCUUUUAAAAAAAGUAUUUUAAAAGUAGAAGUGAUAAAUAAAUUUAAUUAAUAUCUUAAUGAGGGAGUUGGAAAGUGAAAAAUUUAAUGAGAAGAGAGAGAUAAUUAAUCUUGAUUGAAGAGAAAAUCUUAUAUUGAGAAACAAAAUAAAAAACUUAAAACAUCAUAUUUUGAGAGUUGAAGAAAGAAUUAUUGCCUCGAUCCAUUGAAAAAUAGAGAAACAAAUAAUAGAAGUUUUAUGUAGAGAGGAUAAAUUUUUUUUUUUUUGAUCGGAUAAAGUUAUGUUAGAUGUUAACAAUUAAUUCCCCAAACACUCCAAGAAUUCACCAAGCCCACCUUAUCUCUCCAAUCACCAAAUUCGCUCCCAAAGGGGAUCGAACCCGGGUCUCAUCACUAAGUGAGGACCCGGUGGCCAGGUGAGAUGUAGAGAGGAUAAAUGAGAGAAUUUGAAGGUGUAUUGAAAGAUAGCAACAUUGGUAUCUAUUUAUAGAGAAUGAAAAAAUAUAUAUUUUGAUAUUUUUAAUUAUUUUUUUUAAUAUUUAUAUUAAAAAUAUACUAAUUUUUAUUAAUUAUCCUAACAAAAUAUACUCAACCCAUCAAAUAUUGACAAAUCGUUGCACCAUUGAUCCAAAUAGGGGUGUAAAUGAGCCGAGUCGAGUCGAGUAUUGCUAUGCUCAAACUCGAACUUGGCUAUUUUCACGAAGCUCGACUCGGCCAAGCUUGAAUUUUUUGAGCUCGGGCUCGACUCGAUGUCAUAAUCGUGAGCUCGAGCUCGACUCGGUUAAGCUCGAUUGUGGAUUCUUACUCGAGUUUGAGCUCGAGCUCGAGCUAGUUUAAGCUCGUUGAGCUCGAACUCGUUUAAACUCGGUUAGCUCGAGCUCGUUUAAGCUCGCCUCAUACAUUCUUUAACAAAUUGAAUAACAUUACAAAUCAACGCAAAUUCCUGUCCUAAAGAUAAUAUCUUACAACUUCUAACACAGUUGUAAGUUAUAAUGAAACAAAUCGACAGAAAUUAUCAUGAAACAAUAUCAGAAAUUAUCAGUUGUAAGUUUACAAAAUAUGAGGCGGAUGUCAAAUAAUACAAUGCAAAUUCAAGAUAUAUUGUCACGAAAUAUCAUGAAACAAAUAGAUAGAAAAAAGACUAAAUGAGUAGCUGACCUCAUUCAAAGUUCAAACUAUAGGCAAUUUCCAAGAAAUUACAGUUAUGAAAAAUUCUUUACUGGAAAUUACCAGUCGCGCCGGGGAAGGAGAGCAGUUGCGCCGAGCUGGGAAAAGGAGACAGUCGCGCCGGCCGCCGGGGAAGGAGAGCAGUCGCGCCGAGUUGGGAAAAGGGUUUGUGUAAUUGCUAAUUGUGUUACACAUAUAUUUGGGCUUGUGAAUUGUGAUUUGGGCCUUCUUGUGGGCUGAAUUAUAGUAUUUAUUUUGGGCCUACCAUUGAUCCAAACUAGAUGAGAGAGAGUGAGCACUCCCCAAUUUUCCUACCGACAAAGAUGGCAGCCAUAUUUACUGAACACCACUUUCCUUUCCUUUCCUUUCCUUUCCUUUUGUUUUGCUUAUUUUUCGAGUGAGCAGAGAUCUGAAAAAUGGCUUACAAUCUUCAAUCACUCAUCACCAUCCUCCAAGGGAUUCUGGAUCCCCAACAAACACGCUGGAUUCUUGGACAAGAGAAACCACAACUCCAAUCCCUCCUCCAAAAAGCUUCUUACCUGCAGCAGAAGAUUCUCGAAAAAACUCCACCACUCACCAAAAUACCAAGCUUGCAGUGCCAAAUCAGAGACGUAGCAAAUGAAGCAGAAGACAUCGUUGAAUCUCACAUGGUUGAACGAAUGCUCUCGAUGCCUGAAGGCGUGAACUUCACUCCGCUGGCACCAGAUGUGCUGCUAGUGACGCAAAAACUUGAUUCUGUGAUCGAACAAGUCGUGAAGCUCGUG